rnacentral:lncRNA from 1 species
UUCAUGCUUCGAGAGGGGAAAAAAGACAAAGAAUUGAGGGGUUUUUUUUCUUCAUAGGAUUUUGGGAAGACUGAGGCAAUCGUUGCUGAACAGUCGAAGUGUUGUACUGGUGAAUCGGGAUUAAAAUGAAGUCGGUGUGAUUGCUCUUGAUUGUUAUGUGAAAUCGAACUAUAUCUGUAAAGAAGAAUUAAAAGGGUGUCUAUAGGAUUUAUGCGGAGUGAAUGAAGUUUAUUGGAUUAAUCUAACAAGACAGUCAGUGGAUACAAGAUCGUGAGUAUAA